rnacentral:lncRNA from 1 species
UCUACCCAGCCCUUUAUAGAAUCCUUAUAACCCGUGAGAAGAGAUAACCCAUUACAGGGGGAAAAGUAAUAGAAGUUUUGCUUCGCCCUAACCAGGCGGAAAAAGGUGACAAACAGACAGGCCGUGGGUGUAAAACCCCAACCCAGACAGAUACACUCAAAACAAGACAUGAACAAAAUAGAGUUUGGGGAUAACAUCCGAGGAGUUACCCCGAAGUAUUCGAAGACCUCAGUAAAGAAAGGGGAAAAAGGAAAUGGCAGACCGAAUUCCCUUUGCUUUAGAAAGAACACUAUACGGCGAUUCUCUUGGGGAUCGAUCAAACCAGGAG